CAAAAUGUGCCAGGAAAGUAUUAUUUAAGAAAAUACUCCAGUGAAAUGCUAUUUCACUUCCCUUGGUGGGUGGUGGGAGGACUGAACUCCAAAUGAAAUGCGCUAACAGUAUUAGGGGGUGAGUUUCACUGGUCUGGGACACACCUGUCAAACCAAAGAGCAGAUUUCCUAUGGUGAGCUCAGAAGGGAUAGAGACUUCCCAUCAAACGGGGACCAGGAAAGUAGGACCUAAUGAUCCUUUUGCCCUUUGGGGUUUAAGGAAGCAGGAGAUAUCAGAAAACUGGCUAAUGGUAGCCAACUACUGAUAACUAUCAUUGCUCUUUUGAUUCUCUGAUUGUUCUUCCUUUUGGGAACAAAAUUCAGAUGGUUGACCCACCAAGAAUAGGGAUGGGUUUAGAGUUAGACCAUUUAGGCUAAUUUUACCCUACUGAGAAUGGGUUCUUACCAUUACAAGAGGAACCUGAGGUUGACACCUAGAUGGUCUAAGUGGUUGGCCGAGAAGCUAAUGGGGCAGAGCUUCCAGUUGUGGGAUUAGGACUGACCAUUUCUAAGUGGGAAUUUUCCUUAGGAGUGAGUCUGCUCUGGCCCUUGAGGGACCAAGGACAGCUGUGGCCUGAGCCUAGAGGGCUAGAAGGUCAUCUCUCACUGAGCAGAGAUAUGUUCCUCAUGCUAAAUAAUUUAGCACAUCUGUUGCUAAAUAAUUUCUGAUCCUUGAUCUAAUUGUUCUAUAACUUUCCAUUUGCCCUCAUAU
rnacentral:ncRNA from 1 species